GGAUUUAAUUGGCUAAGACUGGUUAAAAAGACUUUUUAAACCAGUCUUAGCCAAUUAAAACCACCUAUGCCAAGUUCACCAGGCCAAGCUGGGCCAAUAGAUGUUAUUUCCCUGCUCACUCUCUAAUAUGAACCAAGACAUGAAAACUACAAUCAAGCAAUCUUGGGUUUCUGAUACAGAGCAGUACAAGCUGGCCACGGAGCCCAAACAAUGGCAGCCCAAUAUUGUCCUGUCCCCGGCAGACCGGCGGCAUCAAGGCAUCAAAGAAAGCAAAAGGCAAGAUCUUAUUAUGUUCACCAGGCUGGCUGAGAACUUUUGAGAUCAAGAGAUCCUCCUGCCUCAAGCCUUUUGUUGAAGAUCAACUUUGUAACUCAUCUCUUUGUAAUAGAAUAUUCCGUGAAACUUUGAUUCAAGGAGUGAUAAAUAUGGCCAGCAAUGGAAACCAUGAUAUAGGAACUGAGCAACUCUUCGUUUUAGGGAAAGAGUGAGGGAUUCUUCAUUAUAAGAUAGACAACUUCAGCGGCUUCCUUGCUACAUGAGAACUCAAAUGGUAUACAGGAGUAUUUGGAAGAUAAGUGGGCACAAAUAUAAGACUGUGCCAAUAAUUACUUGCCUCUCAACUCCAAAUCCAGUCUUCAUUACCUUGUUUGUAAUAAGGUGGACCCAUAACCAUUUCUCCAGUUGGCAGGAGGUUCAGCUUAGUGGAAGGCACUGAAGAGGGGUCUUUCCCUGGUUCCAGUGUGCUAAUUCCUUGCUUCCACAAUGCUCUAUUGGUGUGAGGGACGCACAAUAGCGCUUCACCCCAACAAGUUUUAGUUGGCACUACUGCAGAUACCUUCCCAGACAAGUUCUUGCCAUACUCCAAAAUGGCUCAGUAACAUCUCUACACACAGCUUCCUGUUUGCCUACCUUGACUGCAACAAUUCAGCAAAUACCUUCAGCAUCCAGCGAAGACCUCCAAUAUAUGAAGAUUGCUUUUAGGAGCAACUUCAAACUUUGUUUUUAAAUACCUAUCUUAGGGGGCUGGGUAUGUGGCUCAAGCAGUAGCGUGCUCGCCUGGCAUGCGUGUGGCCCGGG